UACGGAGGGUGCAAGCGUUAUCCGGAUUCACUGGGUUUAAAGGGUGCGUAGGUGGGAAUGUAAGUCAGUGGUGAAAUCUCCGUGCUUAACAUGGAAACUGCCAUUGAUACUAUGUUUCUUGAAUUUUCUGGAGGUCAGCGGAAUAUGUCAUGUAGCGGUGAAAUGCUUAGAGAUGACCCGGAACACCAAUUGCGAAGGCAGCUCACUGGGCAAUUAUUGACGCUGAGGCACGAAAGCGUGGGGAUCAAACAGG
rnacentral:rRNA from 1 species